GUGCAUCUAUCUGACAGACCUGGAACAGCUGCCUGUCUGCUGCUAAGGUUUCUACUACAGAUGCAAGAAAAAAGACCUCGUGUUUUCUGUCUGAUUGUGGCAGCCAAGAUUGAACAGAGGAAUACAAGG